GUUAAAGUGUAAGUCCCGUCUGUCACUUAACAUCCUUUGUUUUCGUUACGGGUAGUCGGAAGCUAAUAAGUCUGAUACCAGUCUUACCAAUGAGUACAGUGUUGCCCAGGUUGAGGAGAUCAGAUAGGCAGUCGCCUCUUGUAAAACACCGGUACUCAGCUGCAUACGGUGAGACUGGAAGCCGACCCCAGCAUAGUUGAGAAAAGGCUGCUAACAUGAUGAAGUUAUCCAACAUGGUACAAUAAUUAUUGCAUUGAUUAUAAUCAAUACCAUAAAAGGGUUAUAUGCUUAUAGCGUUGCGAGGAAAAGGAACCCUUUUAUAUACUAAAACUGUACACGUCAUUUACACAGUGGCAAUAAAUGUAUAAAUAAAGCAACAAAUUGUGCUGUUGUUUAGUGUUCAAAGUUGAAGCGUGUCGUCAUGUGGUCCAAGGUUUACUUCGCGUUCCUACUUCUCAUUUUAGGAGUAGCCUUUACUGCUGCAAAUUCUAUCAGAGCGAAUAUUAAAUGUCCAGGUGGGAGGGAACCAACGGUCUCGGGAAGAUGUCCAUUUGAACCUGAAAGCUUUGAUGAUGAUUACUACUGAGGGAUGAAAAUCACACAAGACCCAUGGUACCCGCUGAAGACAACGGCAGUGGAACUAUAUAAUAACUUGUAAACAUGUGUCAUUACCGAAUUGUCAAUAAAAAGUCAUGUCGCAGUAAA
rnacentral:lncRNA from 1 species